rnacentral:rRNA from 1 species
GGGUUGUGAGGUUAAGCGACUAAGCGUACACGGUGGAUGCCCUGGCAGUCAGAGGCGAUGAAGGACGUGCUAAUCUGCGAAAAGCGCCGGCGAGGUGAUAUGAACCUUUGACCCGGCGAUGUCCGAAUGGGGAAACCCAGUGUGUUCCGACACACUAUCGUUAACUGAAUACAUAGGUUAACGAGGCGAACCGGGGGAACUGAAACAUCUAAGUACCCCGAGGAAAAGAAAUCAACCGAGAUUCCCCCAGUAGCGGCGAGCGAACGGGGAGCAGCCCAGAGUCUGAAUCAGCUUGUGUGUUAGUGGAAGCGUCUGGAAAGUCGCACGGUACAGGGUGACAGUCCCGUACACGAAAGCACACAGGCUGUGAACUCGAAGAGUAGGGCGGGACACGUGGUAUCCUGUCUGAAUAUGGGGGGACCAUCCUCCAAGGCUAAAUACUCCUGACUGACCGAUAGUGAACCAGUACCGUGAGGGAAAGGCGAAAAGAACCCCGGCGAGGGGAGUGAAAAAGAACCUGAAACCGUGUACGUACAAGCAGUGGGAGCCUCUUUAUGGGGUGACUGCGUACCUUUUGUAUAAUGGGUCAGCGACUUAUAUUCUGUAGCAAGGUUAACCGUAUAGGGGAGCCGAAGGGAAACCGAGUCUUAACUGGGCGUUAAGUUGCAGGGUAUAGACCCGAAACCCGGUGAUCUAGCCAUGGGCAGGUUGAAGGUUGGGUAACACUAACUGGAGGACCGAACCGACUAAUGUUGAAAAAUUAGCGGAUGACUUGUGGCUGGGGGUGAAAGGCCAAUCAAACCGGGAGAUAGCUGGUUCUCCCCGAAAGCUAUUUAGGUAGCGCCUCGUGAACUCAUCUUCGGGGGUAGAGCACUGUUUCGGCUAGGGGGCCAUCCCGGCUUACCAACCCGAUGCAAACUACGAAUACCGAAGAAUGUUAUCACGGGAGACACACGGCGGGUGCUAACGUCCGUCGUGAAGAGGGAAACAACCCAGACCGCCAGCUAAGGUCCCAAAGUCAUGGUUAAGUGGGAAACGAUGUGGGAAGGCACAGACAGCCAGGAUGUUGGCUUAGAAGCAGCCAUCAUUUAAAGAAAGCGUAAUAGCUCACUGGUCGAGUCGGCCUGCGCGGAAGAUGUAACGGGGCUAAACCAUGCACCGAAGCUGCGGCAGCGACGCUUAUGCGUUGUUGGGUAGGGGAGCGUUCUGUAAGCCGUUGAAGGUGUCCUGUGAGGGGUGCUGGAGGUAUCAGAAGUGCGAAUGCUGACAUAAGUAACGAUAAAGCGGGUGAAAAGCCCGCUCGCCGGAAGACCAAGGGUUCCUGUCCAACGUUAAUCGGGGCAGGGUGAGUCGACCCCUAAGGCGAGGCCGAAAGGCGUAGUCGAUGGGAAACAGGUUAAUAUUCCUGUACUUGGUGUUACUGCGAAGGGGGGACGGAGAAGGCUAUGUUAGCCGGGCGACGGUUGUCCCGGUUUAAGCAUGUAGGCGGAGGUUCCAGGUAAAUCCGGUACCUUAUUAACGCUGAGGUGUGAUGACGAGGCACUACGGUGCUGAAGUAACAAAUGCCCUGCUUCCAGGAAAAGCCUCUAAGCAUCAGGUAACAUCAAAUCGUACCCCAAACCGACACAGGUGGUCAGGUAGAGAAUACCAAGGCGCUUGAGAGAACUCGGGUGAAGGAACUAGGCAAAAUGGUGCCGUAACUUCGGGAGAAGGCACGCUGAUAUGUAGGUGAAGCCCCUGCGGGUGGAGCUGAAAUCAGUCGAAGAUACCAGCUGGCUGCAACUGUUUAUUAAAAACACAGCACUGUGCAAACACGAAAGUGGACGUAUACGGUGUGACGCCUGCCCGGUGCCGGAAGGUUAAUUGAUGGGGUUAGCGGCAACGCGAAGCUCUUGAUCGAAGCCCCGGUAAACGGCGGCCGUAACUAUAACGGUCCUAAGGUAGCGAAAUUCCUUGUCGGGUAAGUUCCGACCUGCACGAAUGGCGUAAUGAUGGCCAGGCUGUCUCCACCCGAGACUCAGUGAAAUUGAACUCGCUGUGAAGAUGCAGUGUACCCGCGGCAAGACGGAAAGACCCCGUGAACCUUUACUAUAGCUUGACACUGAACACUGGUCCUUGAUGUGUAGGAUAGGUGGGAGGCUUUGAAGCGUGGACGCCAGUCUGCGUGGAGCCAACCUUGAAAUACCACCCUUUAAUGGCUGGUGUUCUAACGUAGACCCGUAAUCCGGGUUGCGGACAGUGUCUGGUGGGUAGUUUGACUGGGGCGGUCUCCUCCCAAAGAGUAACGGAGGAGCACGAAGGUUAGCUAAUCCUGGUCGGACAUCAGGAGGUUAGUGCAAUGGCAUAAGCUAGCUUGACUGCGAGAGUGACGGCUCGAGCAGGUGCGAAAGCAGGUCAUAGUGAUCCGGUGGUUCUGAAUGGAAGGGCCAUCGCUCAACGGAUAAAAGGUACUCCGGGGAUAACAGGCUGAUACCGCCCAAGAGUUCAUAUCGACGGCGGUGUUUGGCACCUCGAUGUCGGCUCAUCACAUCCUGGGGCUGAAGUAGGUCCCAAGGGUAUGGCUGUUCGCCAUUUAAAGUGGUACGCGAGCUGGGUUUAGAACGUCGUGAGACAGUUCGGUCCCUAUCUGCCGUGGGCGCUGGAGAAUUGAGGGGGGCUGCUCCUAGUACGAGAGGACCGGAGUGGACGCAUCACUGGUGUUCGGGUUGUCAUGCCAAUGGCACUGCCCGGUAGCUAAAUGCGGAAGAGAUAAGUGCUGAAAGCAUCUAAGCACGAAACUUGCCCCGAGAUGAGUUCUCCCUGAGACUUUAAGUCUCCUGAAGGAACGUUGAAGACUACGACGUUGAUAGGUCGGGUGUGUAAGCGCAGCGAUGCGUUGAGCUAACCGAUACUAAUGAACCGUGAGGCUUAACCUUACAACGCCGAAG